GACGAACGCUGGCGGCGUGCCUAAUACAUGCAAGUCGAGCGGGUUUGUUCCUUCGGGGACAAGCUAGCGGCGGACGGGUGAGUAACACGUAGGUAACCUGCCUUCAAGAUCGGGAUAACUUUCGGAAACGAACGCUAAGACCGGAUAGCUGGUUUUCUCGCAUGAGAGAAUCAUGAAACACGGAGUAAUCUGUGGCUUGAAGAUGGGCCUGCGGCGCAUUAGCUAGUUGGUAGGGUAAAGGCCUACCAAGGCGACGAUGCGUAGCCGACCUGGGCGGGUGAACGGCCACACUGAGACUGGGACACGGCCACGACUCCUACGGGAGGCAGCAGUAGGGAAUCUUCGGCAAUGGACGCAAGUCUGACGGAGCAACGCCGCGGGAGUGAUGAAGGUUUUCGGAUCGUAAAGCUCUGUUGCCCUAGACGAACAGCAGGGAGAGUAACUGCUCUCUGUGUGACGGUAUAGGAGAAGAAAGCCCCGGCUAACUACGUGCCAGCCGCCGCAGUAA
rnacentral:rRNA from 1 species